UUUAUUAAUUUUCUGUAUUUUAAAACUCGGACAACAAAAUAUUCAGAGUUUUAAUUUCCUCUGGCGGGAAUGGAAAAGGCUAGAAAAAGCUUUACUACCCGCCAAAGCAACAAAGUCAAGUACAACAAAGGGUUUGGAGGGCUACCCUCAAUUAAAGAGGGCAUAAACUCUAUUAAUGAUCCUUCCGCAGGUUCACCUACGGAAA
rnacentral:misc_RNA from 1 species